rnacentral:pre_miRNA from 1 species
AUACUACUCCCUCCAUCUGGAAAUACUUGUCAUCAAAAUGAAUAAAAGGGGAUGUAUCUAGAUGUAUUUUAGUUCUAGAUACAUCUCCUUUUAUCCAUUUUGAUGACAAGUAUUUUCGGACGGAGGGAGUAGAAA